rnacentral:rRNA from 1 species
UACGUAGGGUGCGAGCGUUAAUCGGAAUUACUGGGCGUAAAGCGUGCGCAGGCGGUUUUGUAAGCCAGAUGUGAAAUCCCCGGGCUUAACCUGGGAAUGGCAUUUGGGACUGCAAGGCUGGAGUGCGGCAGAGGAGACUGGAAUUCCUGGUGUAGCAGUGAAAUGCGUAGAUAUCAGGAGGAAUACCGAUGGCGAAGGCAGGUCUCUGGGCUGACACUGGCGCUCAUGCACGAAAGCGUGGGGAGCAAACAGG